GUGGACGUAGCUCAGUUGGUAGAGCCCCUGGUUGUGGUCCAGGUGGUCGNGGGUUCGAGCCCCAUCGUCCACCCCA
rnacentral:tRNA from 1 species